rnacentral:tRNA from 1 species
CGAUCUUGAGUUUUUUAGAAUAUUGAGUUUGGGUCUUAAAGGUUUUUGAUCGA